CGGAGGAUCCAAGCGUUAUCCGGAUUUAUUGGGUUUAAAGGGUGCGUAGGUGGCUUUGUAAGUCAGUGGUGAAAGUUUUCAGCUUAACUGGAAAAUUGCCAUUGAUACUGCAGGGCUUGAGUACAGAUGAGGUAGGCGGAAUGUGUCAUGUAGCGGUGAAAUGCAUAGAUAUGACACAGAACACCGAUUGCGAAGGCAGCUUACUAAACUGAUACUGACACUGAGGCACGAAAGCGUGGGGAUCAAACAGGAUUAGAUACCCUGGUAGUCCACGCCCUAAACGAUGAUCACUCGAUGUGUGCGAUAUACAGUACGCGUCCAAGCGAAAGCGUUAAGUGAUCCACCUGGGGAGUACGCCGGCAACGGUG
rnacentral:rRNA from 1 species